AGUAAGUUUGUUUUCGUUUUAACUCGGGUAAUCGUGAUUAACGGAAUACUAUAGUCAAUCCUUAGCAUUUUAGCAUUUGGGUAUUGUAGCGAGCCGAAAAAUAACUUUGAUAUUGCCAUCCUGUUUUCUAACAAGCGCAGAUGCUCUAACUAUUCAAACAAGAAUUUCAAAAUUAUAACCCCAAAACCUCAUAACUAUCUUCGAGCUUUCUACUUGUACCGUAUAUCUUGUAAAUCGAGCACGAGCCCUACCUUUAUAUUAGGCACUGCUCAAUUAUCUUACUUGACUUGAGCUUUUACCCCAAAAUUAAGUAUUAAGAGUGUUCGGGUACGAAUUAGGGAACUCCCCCCUCCAAUCCCGAACUAAUUAAAUGCUCUCUACAUACUUGCUCCCACGAAUCCCCGAUGAAGGCGUCCAACCAGACUUGCCAAUAUGCCGUUGUGGGGAUUGGGUUUCAGCGACCAAACUUGCCAAUAUGUCGUCGUGGGGAUUGGUAAUCCGCAGGUACUCUGUUACACGAACUUCAUUCAUCUAGACUUUGUUCAAUUAGU
rnacentral:lncRNA from 1 species